rnacentral:rRNA from 1 species
AGUGGGUAGUCCGCACGAGCGCAACCUUGUCCUUAGUUGCCAGCAUUUGGUUGGGCACUCUCAGGAGCUGCCGGUGACAAACCGGAGGCAGGUGGGGACGCCGUCAAGUCAUCAUGGCCCUUACGCGUCGGGCUACACACGUGCUACAAUGGUCGGUACAAAGGGUUGCCAACUCGCGAGCGUGAGCCAAUCCCGAAAAGCCGAUCUCAGUCCGGAUCGGAGUCUGCAACUCGACUCCGUGAAGUCGGAAUCGCUAGUAAUCGUGGAUCAGAAUGCCACGGUGAAUACGUUCCCGGGCCUUGUACACACCGCCCGUCACACCAUGGGAGUGGACUGCACCAGAAGUGGUUAGCCUAACGCAAGAGGGCGAUCACCACGGUGUGGUUCAUGACUGGGGUGAAGUCGUAACAAGGUAGCCGUAGGGGAACCUGCGGCUGGAUCACCUCCUU